AGUAGUUAUCAGGGACUGGAGAGAGGGAAGAAUGAGAAGUGACUACUUCAUGGAUACAAGGUUUUCUCUGGGGGUGAUGAAAAUAUUUUGACAUCUGAUAAAGGUGGUGGUAGUACAGCACUGUGAAUGUACCAAUUGCCACUGAAUUGUGCAUUUUAAAGUGAUUGAUUUUAUGUGGAACAAAUUUCACUUUAAUUAUAAAAAGUGAAUAAACUUUUAGAAGCUAACCUUGGAAGAAGGUAGAGACUGGAAGGGAUCACAAGAAAGGCUUCUGGGAUGUUGACCGUGCAGCAUAACUGUCUGACAUUGGCAUGCCAUUUGUAAACUGUCAAAGUGAUGGUUGGGAGUGUAGCAGUGAGGACAACCAGAGGUCACUCUCAUCACCAUCUUGGUUUGGGUUGAUUUCUCUAAGAAGUACAUGCUGAAAUGAAGAUAAGAGUACAAAAUAUUUAUCGGAGAGUAGUAACACAGAGGAGACACAGGAUUUGGCAGAAACACUAAACCAUGGUGAAGACCGGCUAAAGUCUCUUUGUCCAAAGGGGAGCUCUAAAGUAAAUAUGAGCCAUUAAGGGAGCCCCACACUGGAUGGAAAUGGCCAAGCCUUUUUACAACCACCUUCUCCUUGAGACACUGCCUGCAAUUCACCCUGGGAAAGCAAAACCUCAACUGUUUCUGCCUCAUUCAUUCUUUGUCAGUGCCGUAAGAAGAUUGAGAUUUCAGCUUGUAACUGUUGAAGCAAAACCUAAAGUGGUUAAUAAUGGGAGUUUGUCACAACUAUCUUAACACAAAUAUAAAAUAUUUGCAUGAACUGUAAUAACCUUUUAUUUAUAAAUUAAAAACUUAUUGAUAAAAUACAGAUUUCAAUAACAUUAGUAAAAAAUCUUUUCACUUUUCUUAAGUAAUUCAGAAUAGAUCAUCUUUCAUUUUAGUUCCUACACUUGAUCCUUAGAAGAAAAAGAAACCUAUUUUUUUUAUAAUGCAAACACUUUAGUUUAACAUAAACAAGAAAAA
rnacentral:lncRNA from 10 species